UUGUUUACAUGUCAUGUUAAUAUUCCUUCUCGUAUAUCUUACACUCUAUCAUUUCGUUAAUUAAUGAAUAUGAGAUUACAUGUAAUGCGUAUGUGAAUCAAUGUAAAUAGAGGUUGGCGGUAUCGUUGUACGGAGGUACAAGAUAAAAGAAAUUAUAUUAUUAAAUAAUAACAAAACACUUGACUGAUCAUGGAUGACUCAUCGUCAUCACGUUCAUCCUUUCAUGAAAAUAAUGAUAAAUAUCAUGAAGAAAAGACUAUGCUACUUUAUCAAAAUGUGAAAAUGAAUUUGCAGGAUGUAUUAAAAGGUGCGACAGAAGCGGAAACAAAUUUUAAAAAUCUAGAGGAAAACAUCCUUAAUACAGCUAAACUUAUUCAAGCAAUUUCACACAAAUCAAUUUUAAAUAAAAAGUAGCUAUUUUUUUUCUAACAUCAUUUACAUUAUUACAGAAGUAUACUAUACGACCAUAUUGUAUGAAUUACCAUUUUGAAACACGACUUACUUAAAAAUAAAGUUAUUAUAUAUUACCUAUAUAAA